rnacentral:rRNA from 1 species
CUGGCUCAGGACGAACGCUGGCGGCGUGCUUAACACAUGCAAGUCGAGCGAUGAAAUCCCUUCGGGGAUGGAUUAGCGGCGGAC